AUGGGGGACCAGUCGCCGACGAAGAACAGCGACGCAGGCAAGGGCGGCGGCGGCGGCGGAAAGUACACGCCGCCGAGCAAGAGGCUCGGAGCAGGGGGCUCCGAGGAGGGCGCCAUCGUGGUGAGGACUGCAUCGAGAGCGGCCGUCCCUGUCCAGUUCCCGCAGCUCACCGACACCAACUACGCCCUAUGGGCCGUGAAGAUGAAGGUUCUUCUCCGACCCCAUGGUGUCUCAUCGGCGCUUGAACCCGAGGGGGAGGUGGACGACGACAAGGAUGCAGCAGCGUUCGCCGCCAUCUCGCGGGCUGUCCCCGACGCCGUCAUGAUGGCCAUCGCGAGCUGCAAAACCGCGAGAGACGCGUGGGAGACAAUCCGAUGCAUGCGUGUUGGGGAAGACCGCGUCAAGAAGGCGAGGGUGAAGCAGCUGAAGAGGCAGCUCGAUCGUCUUGAGAUGGAUGACGGUGAGACUGUGGUCGCGUUCGCGCAAAAGCUCACUAUGUUGGUGAGCGAGAUUCGCUCUCUUGGUGAGAAUAUUUCAGACGAGACUGUCAUCGAGCACCUGUUCAGUGCAGUACCAGAUCGGUUCGGCAACAUCGUUAACACAAUUGAGCAGUGGGGCGAUCUCUCUACCAUGAGCGUUGCUGAGGCCGUUGGGCGUCUUGCUGCUUUUGAGGAAAGUCGUCGAGGGCGCCGUCGUGGGCGCGGUUAUGGCGACGACAAUGAAGGCGAGCAGUUGAUGUUGGUUUCACGUGCCCAGCUAGAGGCGUUGGUUCUUAAAGAGAAGAAGAAGGGUGAUGGCUCCAGCAGCGGCAACAAGAACGACGACGAAGGGCACAGUGGCAGCCAUGGCAGCAAGAAGAAGGAACGUCGUGGCAAGUUUGACAAGUCGAAGAUUACAUGCUUUGAGUGUGACGAGAAGGGCCACUUCGCCUCAGAGUGCGAGGCGCCAAAGAAAGAGAAGGCAUUGCUCGCCGACGUCGAUGACGAGCCAGCACUGCUGAUUGCUAUGGCAUGUGAGCACGGGCCAUUGGUGGAGCACGCCAAGGUCGAGCCAAAAGAGAAGGGAGCUGAGAUCACUCCCUUUGGUGUAUCCAUGGAGGAGUUGGAAGCUGCCAAGGCCGAGACCGAGAGGCUGCGUGUGGAGCUUGCCGCAGCCUAA
rnacentral:rRNA from 1 species